GCCGAAAUAGCUCAGUUGGUAGAGCAGUGGACUGAAGAUCCUCGUGUCACCAGUUCAAUUCUGGUUUUUGGUA
rnacentral:tRNA from 1 species